CUACUCAUGGACUGAACAGACUGCAAAUCCAAAUGUUAAUAUUUCCAAUAUUGCUAAUAGACCUCAGCAAGACAUAAGGCAUGUAAAUAUUUUUUAUUUUGACCAUGGUUUAAUUAUUAUGAUUUAUCAUUUCAUCCUUUAAUGUUGCUAAUUAUCUAAAUGAAAUGUCUGUUCAAAUGAACCUUAUGAAAAAAUUUUGUAGUUGAGUAAACACUUAGCAAGUCAGAAUUGAAUAUGCUUCCCAGUGAACUGUAGCUGAUUGUAAGGUGUGGUUUUGUCACAUUUAAAAGUUGAUUUCCUUUUGGCCCCAGAAACAAUGGCUGUAAUUUAAAAUAAUAGUCACAAAAUUUUAUAAAUUUUUGUGAAUACAAAAGAGGCUUGAUAGAGCCAUAUUGUAAUUAAUUUUGCUCAGGAGUGCGAAACAAAAUUCAGGGAUGAACCAAUGCUUCUGUUUGGCUUUAGUGCAUGAUUGGGAAAAU
rnacentral:lncRNA from 1 species